GCUGAGCAACUUGAAGAGCACCAACUCGGGCAAGUGUACGAGGAGAUUUAGGCAACUCUGAAAUCAUUUCUGUGGAUCUGAGCCUGUGUGGACAAAACCAGUGUCAUGUCUUAAGAAAUAACAUUCAAACAGUCUCAUCUGCAGUGCUCCGUUCUUGUCCAACAGAUGCUGGGUGUAGAUCUCCUGCUUUGGCUAUGUUUAAAUAAGAACAAGCCUACACUACUACUUUCAGAAUAUUUCAGACUUCCUGAAGGCACAGGUCCUAUCUGUAUGUCUUUAACUCAAGAGCUUACCCAACCUCCUGGGCAACUCUUGAAUGUUCAAACAGGUCAUCAUUAAACAAAGCAGCUACAGGAUUUGUGCAAUAUAGCAUGUCCCUCCAGAGAGCCUCCUUUAAGACCUACUGAAUUUAACAAAGGAUUUGCACAGUAACUUCCGUUAGUUUGGGGUAAGAGAUGGAACACGAGAUUAUGACAAACUCUCUUCUGGGAUCUAUGUAGUGGGGCUUGACUUUGAUCUUCCGUUUCUCCUGCCCUUGGAGACCAGAGGCGUUUUUGCAUAUGGCAAAUGAAGAGAAUUGUGGGGCUCAGAGCUGCUGUGCUGAUCAGAGAGUUCCUGAAAGACUGCAAAUAAUUAUUUGCCAAGUCAUGAAGUUGGAUCAAUUGUGGGUAAACAUUUUCAAAUGAAAAAAGGCACAAGCAUUACAGCGUGGGGAAGCUUUUGUCACAAAGCACGGCAAGAUCAUUUCGGAGAACCAUUUGCCUGCUGAGUGUGGAGCUUGUACUAUUUAAGGAGGAAUAAACUCAACGCACAAUCAAUUUUGAUUUUUUUUUCUGUGGAAGAUUUUCACACAAAGCAUUUCAAGAUGCUUUACUGGAGACUGAAAAGCAACAGGAUACAAGCCUCAGUUCCAUUUAAGCACGGCGCCUAGAGUGUCUGAAUAUGUAUAAUUUUAGGCAUAUAAAUAGAUAUGUGCAGGUAGACACUCAGGUAGAGCUUUCCUUCAUCUCCUAGUGUGAAGGACAUAUGCUUUUGGAACUUUAUUCAAAACUGUGCAUCCACUAAAAAGAAACUCCUUUUAGCCCUUUCCUUUAGAUUAAAUUCUAAUGAACAAGACAGGCACAUGCAAUUUGUCUGUCACACAGACUGUACCUGGGAAAAAGAGAGAAUCAUUGAAAUAGAUUAUUAUAGCAAGUUAAUCUCUUGCUGUAUUAAUAGAUUGUUUUGUAAAGGGAAGAAGAUGAAAUUUUAUAAUUCUCUGAAAAUUAUUUCUGGGGUGAAGAGUUUAAUGAAGCCAGACAAUGACACAAAUGUAUCACAUUCAUAUGAAAAUGUUUAUAUUGAGGUUCUAUUUUUAUUUUGGCUUCUCACCCAAACGGUUUCUGCUAAAUUCCAGUGAAAGCUUAGGAGAUCUGUCUUUUGAAACAGAAGUACAGGAGUACCAAUGGAUUGAUUUGAUUUCAAAAUUAUUAACAAGCUUUCUUCUUCCAUGCUUUUCUUCUGGACAAUGCAAAAAAUUAAGAAUUAAAAGAUUAUUUGUGAUUAAUUUUUUGUAACUGAAGGGAAUCCAGGGAACAAAUUGCCAUUUGAAGUGGUUAUCAUCCCAAAUAGAGAAGUAACAAUUAUUUUUCAGGACCUCUUGACCUAUUUAAUCAAGUCCCUACUUUUAGGGAAACAAUCUCAUUUCUGACUUGCACUUUUCUUUAUUUCUCUCUUAUGUCUUUAUCAGGUGAUUAAUGUUAAAUAUGCAGCUUAUCCCUCCUUAGAGAAAAGUAAUAUUGAUUUUAUUCACAGGAUAAAUUAAUUUCCAUCAGCAUUUUAACUUCAACAGAUUCAGAAUUUUUCCUGAGGAAUAGAAAGAAAUACUACUGGAAGGAAAUGAAGUUUUGCUAUUGAUGAAUCAGGAAGUACCACGCAUUUCAUUUUGAUAGCAGAAUUAACUGGGACAUCAAAAUGGCUAUGGAUCAGACUUAAAAUUCAUUCCAGAAUUUUUAAGAAGCUAUGGUACCGCGUGAUGGUCAAUGCAGCCUAACACAUUUUGACCAUCUGGAGGUGUUAGGAAUGGAGCUCCCCUCCACAGAAGAGCAGGCACGUGGUGUGAGAGACUUGCAUUCCUGGAGCACAGCUCUGAAAAGAUUUCCUCUUAAUUAUAAUUCUUCCAAGGUGAGAUGGAGCAGCUCUGGAAAUGAAGUGAAAGCUUCUGCUCUCUAACUGUGGACCAUACCCAAAUGGAGGAUCACUAAGAGCAAUGAAGAAUAUUCAACUUGUCUCAUGUUCUUCCUCUGACAAGCCUCCUUGACCACUAAGAUGGGGGUGAGGAUUUCAUCUGAGCUUACUUGAAAAUGAGCAAAUUAAAGACCAUAACUGAGAUGUUUACAGUUGCAACAUGGUGAACAAACAGAUAAGGAUGCUGUGGAAACGGAAAGGUUACUGGACUUCAAGGACAAGCUCAUGGAAAUAAAUCUACAGAGGUCACCAAAACUGUCAGUUCAUGCACAGCAUCCCAGACCCCAGACGUGCACCGUGACCCGUGCAGUGUUCCCAAAAAAGACAACCAGGAAUGUAGAAGUGCAAGGCUGUGAGAGGAGCACAGAACAGUACAACAGGGCCAAAGCAGGGAGGCUCUGGAUGCCACCGUAGUGAAGAUAACUCUCGCCGUGACCCAGAGGGAGAAGCAAGGCCAGACUCAGAGGUGAGCAGUUCAUAACGGGUAAAGAGAAGUUUAAAUUUCUGAAUUAUAAAGUUGUAAAAAAGAUUCAAAGGGAAGUAAGGGCAUCCUCAGCCCACUCUUUGAUAGUACAAUACAUAAAAACCAGAUUUUGUAGGAGUAUAAUAAAAGAUUGUAUAGGAGUAUAAUAAAACCCAGACACAAGUCUGAAAAAUUCAUUAGUUUCUGCCAUGACUAAAAUAAGCACUGUCUAUGAAAACUACUUUGCAAUGGUAAUGAAAAGCAAGUGGAAAAGCAAGUGUUAGCACCAGUGCUGCGAUGUGAAAUAAUUUCUGUAUACUCAGAUCCAUCAUUGUGAACAAUGUUGUUGAUUAUAAACCACAUCAAAUUCCCAGUCCCCCAAAACAUGUAUUUUAUUUUGCAGUUUUUCUAGUAAUUAUGAAAUCAACAUAACGCUAUCAAGUUUUACCACAAUUAAGCUAAAUAUAUACUUAAAUGAUAUAAUGUACUUUGUAAUUGUAAUAUCUCUGUAACAGUAACUUACUUCCUAGGAACAAUUGGCAACGUUUCUCCAACAUUUUUUAGGGGUGGUGUCUAAUGAUAAUGACAAUACUCAUCUCUCUCUGAAUUUUGUAAUUUAAAAGGUACUUGCAUACAAUUUAGAAUCAAGUUUUGACCUGCAGAGCUUCAUUUCUUGUAAGUUGAUAAGAGGAGUCUCCUAGAUUUGAAUGGAUUUUAUGGCCCCUUCAGCGUAGCUGGGUUUGAUGGAAGAGAUGAUGACACAAGACUUACGGCCACGUAAGCAGUUCUCCGAAAACAGGUCUAUAUCUAGUCACUUGUGAGACAGUGUUCACUUGUAAAGCUAUUACCAUGUCAUUGUGCUGAAGACCUUUGGGCUUCAGGAAAUCAAAAUGUCUGUCAGUCCCCCAGUGAGAGAUGGGCCAGAUGGUAUUUUGCUCCAAGCAAUUGCCACUUGCUCAGGGCAGAAGAUCUG